rnacentral:rRNA from 1 species
CCAGUUACUAACAGGUAACGCUGAGGGACUCUGGCGGAACUGCCCGGUGACAAACCGGAGGAAGGUGGGGAUGACGUCAAGUCAUCAUGGCCCCUAUGUCCAGGGCUACACACGUGCUACAAUGGGCGAUACAGAGUGACGCGAAGCCGCGAGGUGGAGCAAAUCGCAGAAAAUCGCUCUCAGUUCGGAUUGGAGUCUGAAACCCGACUCCAUGAAGGUGGAAUCGCUAGUAAUCGCGCAUCAGCAUGGCGCGGUGAAUACGUUCCCGGGCCUU